rnacentral:lncRNA from 1 species
UAAAGGCAAAGAAGGAAACAAACAAUAACAAUAGGCGAAAUUCAAAUUGACAUAUGAUAAAGACACUUUUUCAUAGUUGAAGAUUUUUUUUUCUAUUUAGAUAUAAUUUGAAUGCCAGGUUGAUGUAAUGUUGCUGUAAACUCAAAUAUUCUUUUUCUUCUCUAUAAUAAAUAAUCAAGAAUGUUUUAUGUGAUAAACAAGUUUAAGGAAAUGCAGAUUUGAAAAACAGAACAUAGAGUUUGUUCAAGACAUAUUCAUUACAUUUUUUGUAUGUUCACGUAUUUGAUCUUAUAUGUUAAAGACUACACUUUACAAUACUAAAAGUACAAUUUGAUAGUUGUACUCUCUUGUUCUAUGUU